GCGGCAUGUGGGAUCCUCCCAGACCAGGGCUCGAACCCGUGUCCCCUGCAUUAGCAGGCAGAUUCUCAACCACUGCGCCACCAGGGAAGCCCUACAAAUAAGCUCUUUUAAAUUCUAGAGUAAACUAGUUGAGAAGAGAUUUGUAGCUUUAUUAAAAUCUGGUGAAAGGCACAGUACCCACUGGAUCAGGCUCGGGGCAGAGGGUUUCUGUUGCUCAAAUUCUAGUCAUUUCCAGACUCCUACUCAUGUUUUGGCAACUCUGUGAUUAGAACCCAAGGGUUCAGCCUUAAAACUAUGGCUCUGAUGGCCCUGAGUUCUUAGAAAUGCAGUAUGAGAUAUCUAAACGACUCAUCAAGAAUGUGAUAUACAGCUAUGCGCAUACCAUGAAGCCAACAUUGGUAGAACUCACAACUGUCGGGCAUGGUCUUUGUCUUCCUUCAGCUUACACAAAAUCCUGGGAGAUAAGACAAAUAGGGAAAGACAGCUGGAGAGCACACCGGGGUCUUCGCCAGGCCAGGCUGUGUACCAGCUGUAUUUGAAUGGUCUGGUGCUGGGGAUUCAAAGGGAAGACGUCGUAUGUCAGAUCCCAUGUAGUUCAUACUCUACAAAAUAGCCUGGAUUCCACUCAAGUACAAUGUCAACAAAACCAGCAGUGAGAAAAAUUUCACAGCAACUGAGAUGCUAAGCAAAUUUCGCUCACGUAUCACAGUAGUAGUAGGAACUUGGAAGCCCUAAUCCACUCAACGAUUACCGUCAGAUAUUAGGAGAGAGCUUGCCAUCAGUGACGCACAGGCAAUCCCAACGUCCGAAUUGGUCCUGAGAAACUCAUGUGCUCUCUGGCCCCAGUCAUCAGGAACUGAUGGCAUUCCAGAGCCAAAGAAGAGAGUGAAUCAUUUACGACAAGGCUGGGCGCCAACCUUGAGUAUAAGUCACCAACCAAGAAUUCUUUGCUCUUAUCUACUUUUUGGUAAUAGUAAAAACGUCAAGCAUGAAUAAUGAGUGUGCGAUGCCAAGAAUACUUCUCAAAUCAGCAUGGUGGCAACAAA